rnacentral:rRNA from 1 species
AUUCAGUGAAUCAUCGAAUCUUUGAACGCAUCUUGCGCUCCUUGGUAUUCUGAGGAGCAUGCCUGUUUGAGUGUCAUUA